UCCCUAGUGGCUCAGUCGGUAAAGAAUCUAUCUGCAAUUUAGGAGACCCAGGUUCAAUCCCUGGGUUGGGAA
rnacentral:tRNA from 1 species